rnacentral:rRNA from 1 species
UACAGAGGUCCCAAGCGUUGUUCGGAUUCACUGGGCGUAAAGGGUGCGUAGGUGGCGGGGUAAGUUUGAUGUGAAAUCUCCGGGCUUAACCCGGAAACUGCAUUGAAUACUAUUCUGCUCGAGGUUUGGAGGGGGGACUGGAAUUCUCGGUGUAGCAGUGAAAUGCGUAGAUAUCGAGAGGAACACCAGUGGCGAAGGCGAGUCCCUGGACAACACCUGACACUGAGGCACGAAAGCUAGUGGAGCAAACAGG